UGGGGAAUUUUGGACAAUGGGCGAAAGCCUGAUCCAGCCAUGCCGCGUGAGUGAAGAAGGCCUUCGGGUUGUAAAGCUCUUUCAGGUGGAAAGAAAACGCAUAGGUUAAUACCUUGUGCGGAUGACGGUACCAUCAGAAGAAGCACCGGCUAACUCUGUGCCAGCAGCCGCGGUAAUACAGAGGGUGCAAGCGUUAAUCGGAAUUACUGGGCGUAAAGCGCGCGUAGGUGGUUAGUUAAGUUGGAUGUGAAAUCCCCGGGCUCAACCUGGGAACUGCAUUCAAAACUGACUGACUAGAGUACGGCAGAGGGGGAUGGAAUUCCGCGUGUAGCAGUGAAAUGCGUAGAUAUGCGGAGGAACACCGAUGGCGAAGGCAAUCCCCUGGACCUGUACUGACGCUCAUGCACGAAAGCGUGGGGAGCAAACA
rnacentral:rRNA from 1 species